CAACUCUCAACAACGGAUAUCUUGGCUCCCGUAUCGAUGAAGAACGCAGCGAAAUGCGAUACGUAGUGUGAAUUGCAGAAUUCCGUGAACCAUCGAAUCUUUGAACGCAACUUGCGCCCGAGGCUUCGGCCGAGGGCAUGUCUGCCUCAGCGUCGGUUU
rnacentral:rRNA from 1 species